UCAAUUAUUGAUUGCGCCUCAAGCACACCCUCUCCUGGGGAUCAAGCCCCCAACCUGGUCAUGUGUCAUGGCCCCCUGGUUCAUAAAUCUACGCUCAACCACUGAACCACACCAACCCUACCCUUGUGCCUCUUUUGAGCUGCUUCUGCUCCUACCUAGAAAAACUUCAACCCUGAAAGCAUCCACAUUGUCAGUAUUCAUCCAGAGGGCUUUUUCCUAUGGAAAAUAAUCACAAAUGAGUAAAUUAGUACCUCUACUGGGCCCUCACAUUGCCAGCAAAACUUAGUACCUUUUUGUAAUCACUUCAGUCAUCAAAUGGCCUAGCCAUCUUAUUUCAAAGAGAACUACAGGAUAUUUAUUAGAAACUGCCUCAAAGCACUUACACUCUCUAAACCAACCUCAUCCACAGUUUUAGCCUUUUUCUGGUGGCCCAAUAAAAACGGAAACAACAUCAAAAAAUUGCUUGUGCUCUAGCUCCUUAACUCCCAGGCUUAAAACACUGAUUUACCUCUUUAUCUUCAACUUCUUCCUUAAUGGAUCCUUUCUGUUCACAUUUAAUUUUUAAGCUGACAUUCUAUAUAGCAUAAUAAUGUGUUAAUAUUCAUAAAUUAACAUGUAAUUAUGUUGCAUAUUUAGUAAUUAUGUUAUGAACGCCUACUUUAAGAAAAUUAUGCUUGAAUCCUACAUCUUAUCAGCUCCUACUUAGCUCUUUAACUGUCAAGAUGAUCUCCCUUUCACUUCUUAAUGCAUUUGAUCUACUCCUUUUGGUAAGGUCACCAAUAAUCUCCAAUGCGCCUCUUCAGUUUUCCUCUCUUGUUUGUUUUACAGAAGCAUUCCAUACGGUUGACCUCUUCCUUAAAAUACUCUUAUCUUCCUGGAUGCUAUAUUCAUGUGGUUUUUCUCCUCCCCUCUCUAGCUGCUGUUCCUCAUUCUGUUUACUUGAUUUCUCCACCGCCCCAUCUUGAAAGUGUGUUCCUCAAAGUUCUUUAGCUUUUUUCUCCUUUUUAAGCUGUAUACUCUCUCUGGCAGCAACGCCUAUGAAGAAUUAUUUUCAAAUUCACAUGUCUGGCACAAUUCUCUUUUCUGAAUCUAGAUCUGACUUCUUGAUAUGUUUACUUGAAGGCCUCUCAAAUUUUGAAGUAAUCUCAACUUUUCUUCCAGUGGGCACCAUCUACUAACAUGAGUAUGCCAGAAAUCUGGAAGUCAUUUUCAACACUGUUUCUUUCAAUUCUGCACCAGCAUCACACCUAUUACCAAGUUCUAUCAGUUCUUCCUAAAUAUAUCUAAUAUCUAUUUAUUAAAAAUGUUUAAAUUAUUUUGAUGAGAGAUAUGUGUACAUGAAUGUGGGGGGGGGGGGUUGUUGUUUUAACUGAUUUUAGAGAGAGAGGAAGGGAAAGAGAGAGAGAAACAUCCAUGUGAGAGAGAUACAUUGGUGGGUUGCCUCCCGUACAUACCCUGACCAGAGAUGGAACCCAAACCCUGGAUAUGUGCCCUGACCGGGAAUCCAACUGGCAACCUUUCAGUGUACAGUGUGACACUCAACCAACUGAGCCACACUAGUUAGGGCCAUCUGUGUGUUUUAAUUUAAAUUACUCAAAAAGGUUUAUCAUGAAAGACAACAAUCAUGCUAACAGUCUUAUUCCUUCCUACCUAUAUUCUGUUUUCAGUUUUGCUGAUUUAGUAUGGGAAAGGAGAAACAGUUUGUUCAACAAAUAUUUGAGCCCUUAUUAUGGAAGAGGUACUGUUGCAAUUGCAGGGUAAGCAGCAGUGAGAAAAAGAAACCCAACCCUUAUUAGAGUUUAUAUUUGAGAGAUAAAGUAGUAAAAUAUGUAAUAUGCUAAGAAGAUGCUUAAGUGCUUGGAGAAAAAGCCAGGAAUGGGGAUGGAGAUAAGUGUAUGGGCUGGAGGGGAAUUGCUACUUCCAAUUUAAAAUAGGUUAGGGCAGUGGUUGGCAAACUCAUUAGUCAACAGAGCCAAAUAUCAACAAUACAACGAUUGAAAUUUCUUUUGAGAGCCAAAUUUUUUAAACUUAAACUAUAUAGGUAGGUACAUUGUUAUUAACUUAAUUAGGGUUCUCCUAAGGCUUAGGAAGAGACACACUCAAGGGGCCAAAGAGCCGUAUGUGGCUCGCGAGCUGCAGUUUGCCGACCACAGGGUUAGGGAAUCCUGUCCAGGUGACUCAGUUGGAGCGUCGUCCCAUGCAACAAAGGUUGUGGGCUCGAUCCCGGGUCAGGGAAUGUACAGGAGGCAAAGGAUAGAUUCAUACCAAUGUGUAUGUCUGUCUGUUUCUCUCUCUCUCUCUCUCUCUCUCUCUCUCUCUCUCUCUCUCUCUCUCUCUUCAUUCCUUUCUCUAAAAUAAUAAUAAGCAUAUCUCGGGUAUGGGGUUUUUAAAAAAAAAAAAAGACAUAAAAAGCUGACAUUUGAGAAAUGACUCAAAAAGGCGAUUGAAUAUUCAAGCAAAAGAAUGUAGCUGUGCCCCACCAGUGUGGCUCAGUAGUUGAGUGUUGACCCAUGAACCAGGAGGUCAGAGUUCGAUUCCUGGUCAGGGCAUAUGCCCCAGUUGUUGGCUUGCAAGAGAGGAGCAUGCAAGAGGCAGCUGAAUGAUUCUCAUGAUUGAUGUUUCUCUCUGUGUCUCUCUCUCUCUCUCUUCCUCUCCCUUCUUGUCUAAAAUCAAUUAAAAAAGAAAAAGAAAUUAUAGCUGCAAAGAUUCUGAAGCAGGAGCGAACCUAGAAUAGCUGGAUUGAAGUGAGUGGGGAAAGGAUGGUAGCAUUUGAGGUUAGAAAGGGAACAUUGGGGGCAACUGUAAUGAUUGUUAUUUAUCCUGAGGUGGGAGCAAUUUUGGGGUUUUGAGGAAAGUAAUGACAGUUUGACUUAAUUUACAAAGAAUCUUGGCUGCUGUGUUGAGAAUAAACUAUAUAGUAGGGCAAGAAGCAGGGAGGCUGGGUUGGAGGCCAGUGCACUAAUCCAGAGUGGUUCUCCUGGCUCCCUGUCAGUUGGAACAUGAGGCUUAGACUUCCAAUACUGAAUCUAUUGCAGAGGCCUUCGUGGUGAGCCCUGUGGUAUGGUGGCCAGUGUGGUAUCCUCAGCAGAUUUGUCCUCUGGCCAAGGCUUUAAUGCAGCCAUUCACACAGGUCAAAAAUAAAUAAUAGCCGAAACCAUCUUCUUCUCAUUGUCCCUCAGACUUACAGUUACCCUCUCCAUGUUUCUAAUUUUUGAUAAUACAAAGUGCUGUAAUGAAGAACCUUCAUGAAUCAUUUAAUAAAUGGUGAAUUUAUCUGUAAAACAAAUCCAAUAACUGGAAAUUCUAGAUAACGGGAGACAUAGCUUUGUAAUUCUAACAUUCCUGUGUCCCCCUCAAUAGAGAUAUAUAGCAAUUUAUACUUUAGCCAGUUUUUGAGGGUGUCUGUUACCCCAUAUUCACCAAUAUGAUGUUAUCAAACUUUUGAAAACUUUUGCCAGUCUUUUUGUUGUCAUUAAUCCUCACCUGGGAUAUUUUUCCCAUUGAUUUUUAGAGAGAAUGGAAGGGAGGUGAGAGAGAGAGAAGCGUUGAUGUGAGACACACAUCAAUUGGUUGCCUCCCACAAAUGCCCUGACUGGGGCUGGGGAUCAAGCCUGCAAGCAUAGUAUGUGCCCUUGACCAGGUUUGAACCACAACCCUUCCAUAUGCAGACCAAAGCUCUAACCACUGAGCACCCGGUCAAAGCUUGCCAGUCUUAUAAUUGAAAAAUGUUACCUUGGUACCCUAUGCAUUUCAUGUUGUGUGAGGUUGAACAUUUUUUCAUAAGUUAUUAGUACUUCUUUUGUGUGAACUGCUUAUAAAUAUUGCUUGAUUUUUUUUUCUUAUUGGAUGUUGGUCUUUUCUUAGUUAUUUACAGGAGCUCUUUUUGUAUUAGGGGGGAAAAGUGGGGUUUUUUUUUAUUGAAUAAUACCUGUACAUAGUAAUGAAAAUGAAACAAAAUAGUAUAUAGUCAGUCUGCUUGUCUUCCUUAAAGACAAAUACUUUUGUUUAUUUGUAUUCUAGAAAGUGUUCCUCUCUAAAUUGUGUGUGUGUGUAUGAGAGAGAGAGAGAGAAAGAGAGAGAGAGAGACCUUAUAUGAAUAAGGAGACCUGUGUCCCCUUAUUAAUAUAUCAUUAGGAAGAGCCUAUAUGAACUGUUGUUCACUUUGUUUAUUUAUCUGUUUAUCAACUACAGACCUCCUGAUAUGAAGAUAUACUGUCUUAACCUCACACAGACACAGAUUGACACAUCAUCGCUCUGUAUCUUAUUAAUGUACUUACCAUAAUACUUGGUUAUAGCUAAUAUAUAUUACUUACUAAGUAAACAUCAUUAUGAAUGAGCCAAGUAGUAUAAAUUCCAUCUGUAUUUUCUUUCUUACAAAAUGUUAUUCUUCCUGCCAUUAAGAAUUGCCUUAAUUACAUGUUGAUGACUUUAAAAGCUGAAAAUAAUAAACAAUAUUCUGCUAUGA